UCCUCGAAUUGCAACAUGUGAUGA
rnacentral:siRNA from 1 species